rfam:Hordeum vulgare subsp. vulgare, WGS project CAJW01000000 data, contig: morex_contig_7150
GUCAUACUCCCUCCGUUUCAAAAUUCUUGUCUUAGAUUUCUUUAAAUAUGGAUGCAUCUAGUAAUGUUUUAGUGUUAGAUACAUCCACAUCUAAAUAAAUCAUAGACAAGAAUUUUAGGACGGAGGUAGUAUUUG